UGCAUUAAGAUGGAUGUUGAGAAGUGCAUCCAAGUAUCUAAUUUUGCAAGAGGAUAAAAGAAGAAUAAGGGAAUACAUGGAAAAAUAUUUUGUUUCACUGAAAAAUAUUUUAUCAGGGAUCUAAUUUUUCAUGCUAUAUGGCUAAACUUGUAUCAUGGCAUGCAUUUGAAGUAUCAUGGCAUGCAAUUGAAAUAUCGUAGCACAC
rnacentral:lncRNA from 1 species